GGAAUAUUGCACAAUGGGGGAAACCCUGAUGCAGCAACGCCGCGUGAAGGAAGACGGUUUUCGGAUUGUAAACUUCUGUUCUUAGUGAAUACGAAUGACGGUAGCUAAGGAGCAAGCAACAGCUAACUACGUGCCAUCAGCCGCGGUAAUACGUAGGGGGCAAGCGUUAUCCGGAUUUACUGGGUGUAAAGGGGGCGCAGACGGCAAUGCAAGCCAGGAGUGAAAGCCCGGGGCCCAACCCCGGGACUGCUCUUGGAACUGCAUGGCUGGAGUACAGGAGGGGCAGGCGGAAUUCCUAGUGUAGCGGUGAAAUGCGUAGAUAUUAGGAGGAACACCGGUGGCGAAGGCGGCCUGCUGGACUGUGACUGACGUUGAGGCCCGAAGGCGUGGGGAGCAAACAGG
rnacentral:rRNA from 1 species